rnacentral:rRNA from 1 species
UACGUGGGGUCCGAGCGUUGUCCGGAAUUACUGGGCGUAAAGCGUGCGCAGGCGGUUAUGCAAGACAGAUGUGAAAUCCCCGGGCUCAAACUGGGAACUGCAUUUGUGACUGCAUGGCUAGAGUACGGUAGAGGGGGAUGGAAUUCCGCGUGUAGCAGUGAAAUGCGUAGAUAUGCGGAGGAACACCGAUGGCGAAGGCAAUCCCCUGGAACUGUACUGACGCUCAUGCACGAAAGCGUGGGGAGCAAACAGG